CUUCCUUUGGGGGGAAAAAAAUUGGAAUGAUAUACAGAAGAUUAGCAUGGCCCUUGCACAAGGAUGUCACACAAAUUCAUGGAGCAUUCCAUAUUUUU
rnacentral:snRNA from 1 species